rnacentral:rRNA from 1 species
CUCGAGUUUUUAGCAGAUCAGGCCUAACACAUGCAAGUCGAACGAUAUAGUGGCAGACGGGUGAGUAACGCGUGGAAACGUGCCUUUCACUACGGAAUAGCUUUUGGAAACGAAAGGUAAUACCGUAUACGCCCUCCGGGGGAAAGAUUUAUCGGUGAAAGAUCGGUCCGCGUUAGAUUAGCUAGUUGGUGAGGUAAUGGCUCACCAAGGCUACGAUCUAUAGCUGGUCUGAGAGGAUGAUCAGCCACACUGGGACUGAGACACGGCCCAGACUCCUACGGGAGGCAGCAGUGGGGAAUAUUGCACAAUGGGCGCAAGCCUGAUGCAGCCAUGCCGCGUGAAUGAUGAAGGCCUUAGGGUUGUAAAAUUCUUUCGCCAGGGAUGAUAAUGACAGUACCUGGUAAAGAAGCCCCGGCUAACUUCGUGCCAGCAGCCGCGGUAAUACGAAGGGGGCUAGCGUUGUUCGGAAUUACUGGGCGUAAAGCGCGCGUAGGCGGACUUUUAAGUCAGAUGUGAAAUCCCGAGGCUCAACCUCGGAACUGCAUUUGAAACUGGGAGUCUAGAGAUCAGGAGAGGUUAGCGGAAUACCGAGCGUAGAGGUGAAAUUCGUAGAUAUUCGGUGGAACACCAGUGGCGAAGGCGGCUAACUGGACUGAUACUGACGCUGAGGUGCGAAAGUGUGGGGAGCAAACAGGAUUAGAUACCCUGGUAGUCCACACCGUAAACGAUGAGUGCUAGUUGUCUGCAGGCAUGCCUGUAGGUGACGCAGCUAACGCAUUAAGCACUCCGCCUGGGGAGUACGGCCGCAAGGUUAAAACUCAAAGAAAUUGACGGGGGCCCGCACAAGCGGUGGAGCAUGUGGUUUAAUUCGAAGCAACGCGCAGAACCUUACCUACGCUUGACAUGCCCGGACGAUUUCCAGAGAUGGAUCUCUCCCUUCGGGGCCGGUGCACAGGUGCUGCAUGGCUGUCGUCAGCUCGUGUCGUGAGAUGUUGGGUUAAGUCCCGCAACGAGCGCAACCCUCAUCCUUAGUUGCCAUCACGUUUGGGUGGGCACUCUAGGGAAACUGCCGGUGCUAAGCCGGAGGAAGGCGGGGAUGACGUCAAGUCCUCAUGGCCCUUACGCGUAGGGCUACACACGUGCUACAAUGGCAGUGACAAUGGGAUAAUCCCCAAAGGCUGUCUCAGUUCGGAUUGUCGGCUGCAACUCGCCGGCAUGAAGUUGGAAUCGCUAGUAAUCGUGGAUCAGCAUGCCACGGUGAAUACGUUCCCGGGCCUUGUACACACCGCCCGUAUCUGCUAAAAACUCGAC